AAUCUGAGAUGAGCCAUGAACUUCCAGUUUUUCUAGUGGGUAAAUGCCCUCAAGACUCUCUGUGCUGCCCUCACAGAUGACCCUGAUCUGUUCACCUCUAAGCUGACAUUCUGGCAGGGGACAAGGAAGGCUGUACACCUCUUCUGACUAACUCUGAGAGCAUGGAGCCUGAAACCAAGUCUGGACCACAGAAUUCCAUUAAAAUAUAAAGAAUAAACAGAAAUAAAAUAUCA